AGGACGAACGCUGGCGGCGUGCUUAACACAUGCAAGUCGAACGAGGAUAGACAGGAUGAGAGCUUCGGCAGGAUUCGGGUUAUUCGAGUGGCGGACGGGUGAGUAACGCGUGAGCAAUCUGUCCCAGACAGGGGGAUAACACUUGGAAACAGGUGCUAAUACCGCAUGAGACCACGGGGAGGCAUCUUCCUGGGGUAAAAGGAGGAAUCCGGUUUGGGGUGAGUUCGCGUCCGAUUAGAUAGUUGGUGAGGUAACGGCCCACCAAGUCGACGAUCGGUAGCCGACCUGAGAGGGUGAUCGGCCACAUUGGAACUGAGAGACGGUCCAAACUCCUACGGGAGGCAGCAGUGGGGAAUAUUGGGCAAUGGGCGAAAGCCCUGACCCAGCAACGCCGCGUGAGUGAAGAAGGCCUUCGGGUUGUAAAGCUCUGUUAUAGGGGACGAAGGAAGUGACGGUACCCUAUAAGGAAGCCCCGGCUAACUACGUGCCAGCAGCUGC
rnacentral:rRNA from 1 species